rnacentral:lncRNA from 1 species
AUUUGUCCGAUACAAAAGCAUAAUAACAUCACACAAUUGAAUUGAAAUACGUAACAUAGUAAUCAAGAAAUCAUUGGUUCAAAUUCAUAGCAUUCGAUAACAUCAGAACCACCCCCCUAGCAUCAGGGGGUUUAGCCUCUCAUAGUACUUAAAAAACUCAUAAAGUAAAGAUUAGACAUUACAAAGAAUUAGGAGAGAUUGAUCUUCAAUGGUUGAUGCCCUUGAAUCUCGC